rnacentral:rRNA from 1 species
UACGUAGGGCGCAAGCGUUGUCCGGAAUUAUUGGGCGUAAAGAGCUCGUAGGCGGCUUGUCACGUCGGGUGUGAAAGCCCGGGGCUUAACCCCGGGUCUGCAUUCGAUACGGGCUGGCUAGAGUGUGGUAGGGGAGAUCGGAAUUCCUGGUGUAGCGGUGAAAUGCGCAGAUAUCAGGAGGAACACCGGUGGCGAAGGCGGAUCUCUGGGCCAUUACUGACGCUGAGACGCGAAAGCGUGGGGAGCGAACAGG